UGGGGAAUAUUGGACAAUGGGCGAAAGCCUGAUCCAGCCAUGCCGCGUGUGUGAAGAAGGUCUUCGGAUUGUAAAGCACUUUAAGUUGGGAGGAAGGGCAGUAAAUUAAUACUUUGCUGUUUUGACGUUACCGACAGAAUAAGCACCGGCUAACUCUGUGCCAGCAGCCGCGGUAAUACAGAGGGUGCAAGCGUUAAUCGGAAUUACUGGGCGUAAAGCGCGCGUAGGUGGUUCGUUAAGUUGGAUGUGAAAUCCCCGGGCUCAACCUGGGAACUGCAUUCAAACUGA
rnacentral:rRNA from 1 species